CGUUUCCUGGCUUCAUCUUGCCAUCUUACUCUGGAGUCUAGUUACAAUGAGGAACCCCCGUCUGAGCCCAAGGGAGCCCAGCUUCGCUCUCUCAACAUCUCUUCCACCACUUCCCGGGGGCUAAGUGGAAAUUCACUCCAGACAGCAGUUCUGCCCCAUCAGGGCACAGCUCGCGUCUGGGCCAGAACUUCAUCUCUUCAUUGCAGAAAGUUAAGGAAAUCAUUGCUCAGCCAGGGAGCAAAGAUUGGCUCUGCAGUUGCUCUUUUAUGGAGCUGUUAACGCAGAGACACCAUUACUUAAAUGUAAUUUUUAGUAUUACAAUUAAAGACUGAUUUGAUUUUAUGAGAUCAUGCAUUUUUAUUUUAUGGACGUUUUUGUAGUUAAAUUCAAUUUAAAAGAUUGUAUUUAAAGUAAGGUAUAAGCACGGAGCGUAUUAAAGUUAUGUAAGCCUGCUUUUGGCGCUGUGAUAGCAAAGCUUCCAGCACUGGAUUACUCUGGUAGCGCCACAUGUUUCCUGCUACAACUACGUACUAGCUCAGGAGAAACGAACUUGGCUUCCUCUGUUUGUGACAGCCCCAAAUCUGUCAAGCCUCACGAAGCUCACUGUCAGUUUUCUGCAGGAAAGAAACACUCCUCUCCUUUCAGCCGACUCUCCGAGGAAGGACUUCCAUGGACCCAGGUGCUCUUUCGUUGGGAUUUCACUCUCUGUGCGACACGGAGCUGUGCCCGUGGGGACCAGCCCUCCCAGGGCUGAGGCCAGCUGAUGACCCGGUGCGAUUUUUGAAGGCUUCGUUUCUGAUGGCAGAAAAGCACGUCAGCGUAUUUGCACGGAAUAGAUUAAGCUGCUGGGAACCACGUCCCCUUCAACCGGACUGACGUGGGACCAAGAAGGGGCUUUGUCCUUGUCACCUGGCCUGUCCUAGGUCACCGGGACAAGCAAGGGAAGCGGCGGACCCUCUUUUAAGCCCCGCGUCGCAAAAAUGCGUGAAAUGAGCCCAGACUGAAUUAGAUCCUUCCUCCCACAUAUUUUGGCUGAAAGGUCGCUCUUCCUUCUCUCACUCGUGUUUCCUGGGCGCGAAACCUGGUUUCUCCGCCAUCGAAUUAGCAGAGGAGCAAAGGUUACUCAGAUCUUGGCGCUUUGACGAAAACAGGAUUUUCCUUGGCUCUUCACCUGAGAAUCUGGGGGUACAACACGUGACAGCAUGGGGCUCCCCUAAGACUGUGGUCCCAGGCAUUUCUCCUCUCCAGCUCGCCCACCUGUCACCCAGUGUGGACAUCGCCACCUCUGCGUCCUUGCCAUUUCCAGCUGCAGUGCUUCUCCCCAGUGUCCAGGUGGCCCGAGGGCGGCACGUGGAGGUCGGCUGCUUUUUCCUAAGACCUGUUUUGCUCCUGCCUCGUGGAGGAACAGCCCAUGGUGCUCCUCCGUGUGUUUGGCUCCGUGGAAGACGGAAUAGUGAGCCCCGAGUGUUCUUGGUCAGCAGUUUUUUUUUUUUUUUUUUUUUUUUU
rnacentral:lncRNA from 1 species